AUACUAUUUAUUCUUUCUUUCCUUCUUGAUUUUCAACUUUUCUUGAAUAUGCUUUGUUAGAUAUGAAUGUGGUGAAUUCCAUUUCUGGUGUGUGGCGUGAUGGGUUUGAUUAGUAUCACUCUUAGUUUCCCUGUUCUUUCUAGAUAAUGAUUGCUCAAUAUUUUAAUUUCCUGUAUUUGGUUUAUCUAAAAUUGCUCUUCUGUUUGGCUAUAUGCUGGUUUGAUGGGUGCCUGCUGACGUAUUUUCUGUCUGUUUAUUUUAUUUUAUUUUGAUUAUCUGUACAGUUGUGGGUAUAAUUGCAUACUCAAUCUCCACAAGUUCUUUUUUUAAGUAAGAGUUUUGUUGUUUGUAUGCGCCUUUUACGUAUAUACUGUUGUUAAUCGCAAUGUCAAGCUAGAUAAAACUUGCUAACAGCAUUUUGUUUUUAAAUGAUGGCGUUCUCUUGAUUUAGUAUUAAUUCAAUAUUGGAUCCCAUAAUGCGGCUCCGUUUUGUUUGUUUUGAUUUACCUUGAAGCGAAAUCUGCUCGUCCCUUCACCUGAGUGAUUGAAUAUUUGUGGAAUUAAUUAGAUAAAUAUGAGGCAGAGGACGUUGGUUUUAAAGGAAAGGCUAAGGUGUUGAACUCAGCAUUCCCACAAUCCCACCCAAAAUAAACUGAAUCAAUUCCAAUUGGUAGAGAAAAGAAGUUUUGAUUGUAUAUUGAGAACUUUUUUACUUAAAUAUAAGACUGUCUUUACCUUAUAGUAAUUCUGAUUUGAAAUUGGUCUUUAAUUGGUGGUUUGAUUUUUAUUUUACACUUCUAUGAUUUUCAUGGCUACUGUACUUUCCAGUUAAGUAGCACUUCUUGUGUAUGAGAAGAUUUUCUGAAAAUAAAUCGACCUUUUAUGCCAUCAUAGAUAGCCUAUUACAUCUAUCCUUGAACUUCAAUACUGUGAAUUGUUGGCAUCUUCUAGGCAAUAACAGUUCCAUGCCUUUAAAGAUGGACGCACAAAAUCCUCAACAUGGACAAAUUAUUGAAAUAAGUGUUGAUGUUCCUGAUGGGGGAAGCAGUGUUGGGGGAAGUAAGAUAUGUGGAGAAGCACCUUGUGGAUUCUCAGAUGCUGGAGCUAACUCCAAAGAUGCCAAAGAACGAUCAGCUUCCAUGCGCAAGCUCUUGAUGGCAGUGGCACUUUGUGUAGUCUUCAUGAGUGCUGAAGUAGCUGGUGGCAUCAAAGCUAACAGUCUUGCAAUAUUGACCGAUGCUGCACAUUUGCUUUCAGAUGUUGCAGCCUUUGCUAUCUCCUUGUUCUCUUUGUGGGCAGCUGGAUGGGAAGCCACACCCCGUCAGUCCUAUGGAUUUUUUAGGGUCGAGAUCCUUGGUGCAUUGAUUUCCAUACAGCUCAUAUGGUUGCUUGCUGGGAUUUUGGUAUAUGAAGCCAUUGUUAGGCUCAUUCAUGAUACAGGUGAUGUAAAUGGCUUUCUAAUGUUUAUAGUUGCUGCUUUUGGUCUGGUGGUAAAUGUUAUCAUGGCUCUUUUAUUGGGCCAUGAUCAUGGGCAUGGCCAUGAUGGUCACAAUCAUGGGAUUGGCCACAUCCAUGGGGAGAAAAUUACCACUCACCACCACCACCACCAGCAUGAAGAGCACUUGAAAGACAAGCACUGUCAUCACGAGGAGCACUCAAAAGAUGAGCACCAUCCUGUGUCUGAAGAAUAUGUUGUGCCAUUGCUGGAUAAAGGAAAAGGCAAGCAUGGCAAAAUUCAGCGAAACAUAAAUGUACAAGGGGCUUAUCUCCAUGUACUUGGGGAUUCCAUUCAGAGUAUUGGGGUAAUGAUUGGAGGUGGAGUCAUAUGGUAUAAGCCUGAGUGGAAGAUAGUUGAUCUGAUCUGCACUCUAAUUUUUUCUGUUAUAGUUUUAGGUACAACAAUCAAAAUGCUGCGAAGCAUACUUGAAGUCCUGAUGGAGAGCACUCCAAGAGAGAUAGAUGCAACAAAGCUAGAAAAGGGGCUGUUGGAGAUGGAGGAAGUGGUAGCCAUUCACGAGCUGCAUAUAUGGGCCAUCACAGUGGGUAAGGUUCUCUUGGCUUGUCAUGUUAAAAUCAGACCAGAAGCAAAUGCAGACAUGGUUCUGGACAAUGUGAUAAACUACAUCAGAAGGGAGUACAAUAUUAGUCAUGUUACCAUCCAGAUAGAGCGUUAGUGGAGGAAGUGGAUCAUCUCAUUUUAUCUGAAACUUCCAUUUUUCCUAUUAUAAUUCAACUCUUCUGAGUUCCUUGAAUCAUUGCUUUCUCUUCAUGUGAUACAAGUUACCAAAUAAGUGUCACAUGUGCAAACAUUAUUCAUUCUAAAGGAAGAAGUUUUUCGUCAGGCUUGGGAAGGAACUUGCAUCGUCUUCAAUUUGAGACAUCCAUUGUCACUGGGAGUUGGGGUCUACCACUGAUUAUUUUAAGUGAUUGUUUAAUUAAAUAGCAGCUGGGAGCAUGAUGCUGGGAAGUGGGGGCGCUUGUGUCUGUAACUUCCCAUAGAAUCUGCUUUUACUGUGAAAUAAUGGGUGGGAGAUUCAGUAACUUAAAGGUUCUUCAACCCUGUGGGGAGUGGAUAAGGUUAUCUCACUAGUAUUUCCAUCUUAUGGUCUCUACGUGGACCAGAAUUAAUAAGUCAGCUAGAGGACAAGUACAAAUAUCUCCAGUGCAGGGCACAUGAGAAUGGGAAUGCCUCUGGCUGUGUGGCUUAAUCCUAAGGUGUACCAUAGUUUUUUCUUAUAGGUGGAAAAUAGAUGCUUCAGAUCAAAAUGGAUAAGGUUCUUAAACAUUAUCAAAGAAAGUACGUGGUAUGAAUUUUAUUGAAAUGAAUUUGUCGUCUUUGCAAA